rnacentral:lncRNA from 1 species
UCAUUGUGUGGUCGAAGAUGUGGUUUGCGAGUGCCCAUGGCAGGAUUCCCACUGCGGAGACUCCUGUACAUCGGGUAUGAGGCAGCACAUUGCGUGCAAUGCAUUCUGGUCUUUUUUCCUCCCUCCAGAAGAGGCUCCAUUUAUGUGUUAGGCUUUAAGAGGCUGGGCGUACCAAAAGGAAGUCUCUGAAACGCAGUCCUGUCGAACACCUCUGGAGUUGAUUCUUCUGAUAUCACAGGAGUUCUUCCUAUCACUGUAUAUUAUUGGGUGCGAGCCCCCGGUCCUUCCUCUAUGAGGAGGCAGUGGAGGGAAGAGUUGAACCUCUUCUCGCACACACACCUGAGACUCCCUGGCUCUCUCUGUGGGCCACAGGAUGGGCUUCAGUUAUGGCGAGUAAUAAUUUUGUUAUCGCGGUUUUUACAUUGAUUUGGAACAUGGUGUUACACAAAAUGCUGAAAUUGAAAAAGACAGGAUGAGUCACCUUUGCCCUGUCUCCUCUUCAAGUCUGAUCCUAAUUGAACGGAGAGUGCAAACUGCACGCCAAGAUUUGCAGAACAAAGGCCUCCCCGCCCACGAGUUCCUCAUGGCCUUGCCUCAGUCCCCGAAAUCCCGCUGUUAGCCUCCCUCACUAGAAUAAGGCAUUAGCACAGAAGCCAACGUUGGGGGAAAAGAAAAUCAAUACAGCGUGGAAGAGAAAGCAGGAAGCCAUGGAGGGAGGAAGAGACUGAGGCUCCGGCUGGAAGGACUUCGUUUGUGAUAAGAGCAGAGAGGAAAAGCAGCAAGAAAGAAAAGUCGCUGUACACUUUGGGUCUGGACAUCAAAGAAACAAAGGAAAUGCUUAGAUUCAGAGUGGCACGUGUGUAGAAAAAAGUCCUGCUUUCCUGUCUUGGGGGACACCACUAUCAUCCCAUGUAAGUGACCAGUGCUCCCCAAGUGGCCCUCUCCUGGCAUUUCACUGAGACACAAGCUCCCUGAAAGCUGGGGCUUACCUGACCAUGUGCCCCCUGCACUCCCAGGGCUGAGACCUGCGUCUGGUCCCUGCUAGACACCCAGCGAGGGUUGACAGCAUGAGCGAAUGAGCUUCUCCGUCUGCCCGUAAGUGUGAUGGACACCUUCUCCUACAGCCACCCGUUUCACACAUCAGGCAAACGUCUGUCAAGUCCACUCCUGAAAAUCCUGAAGGAUGUGGCAUUGGACAGGUGAUGCAGUCACAGCCUCGCCCUAGGCCACUCCGGGUCUCUGCUGCCAGGCUACGAGGAGCAGAGAAACACAGGUCCUCUAGCGCAGAUACUUUCUCCAUGCAAGUCUUGAACUUCUGAAAGUCAUCCAUGUGGGUUAAAAUAAACUUCUUCCAAACUCCUGUGAAUAUUGAUAAUUGAUCUUCUCUUAUGAAUUAUGAAUGUUCUUAAUGACAUCUCAAAUGGUAAAUCCUUUCCAAAAGGCUUUCAGUUUACCUCACCCAGCUCCAUCAGAGGACUCACUAUCUAUGGCAGCUAUGGCCUUAUGAAAUGUAUUUCUCAAAUAAUAAGACUUGAAAGUAGAAAUGACUCCAUGAUCUAUGGGCUGCAGAAUGGAUGUUGUGUGAGCAGGCAUGAAAACAACAUUCAGGCCAGGCAUGGUGCCUCACGCCUGUAGUCCCAGUACUUUGGGAGUCCGAGGCGGGAGGAUCACUUGAGGUCAGGAGUUCGAGACCAGCCUGGCCAACAUGGUGAAACCCUGUCUCUACUAAAACUACAAAGUUAGCUGGGCGUGGUGGCGGGUGCCUGUAAUCCUAGCUACUUGGGAGGUUGAGGCAGGAGAAUUGCUUGACCCUGGGAGGCAGAGGUUGCAGUGAGCCAAGAUCACUCCAUGCCACUGCACUCCAGCCUGGGGGAGAGAACAAGACUCUGUCUCAAAACAAACAAACAAACAAACAAACAACAACAUUAAUCUCCUUGUACAUCUCCAGUAGAGAUCUUGGGUGACCAGGUGCACUGUCAAUAAGUAGCAAUAUUUUGGAAAGAAUCAUUUUCCUAAGAAGUAAGUCUUAACAGUGGGCUUAAAGUAUUCAGCAAACCAUACUGUACACAGAUGUGCCGUUAUCCAGGCUUUGCUGGUCCAUUUAUAGAGCACAGGCAGAGUAGAUUUAACGUAAUCCUUAAGAGCCCUAGGAUGUUUGGAUUGGUAAAAUUGGCUUCAACUUAAAGUCACCAGCUGCAUUAUCUCUCCACAAGAGAGUGAGCCUGACCUUUGAAGAUUUGAAGCCAGUUAUUGACUUCUCUCCAGCCAUGAAAGUCCUAGAAGGCAUCUUCUUCCAAUAGAAGGCUGUUUGGUCUACACUGAAAGUCUGUUGUUUAGUGGAGCCAUCUUCAUUGACGGUCUUAGCUAGAUCUUCUAAAGAACUUGCUGCAGCUUCUCCAUGAGCACUUGUUAUUUCACCUUACACUUUUAUGUUAUGGAGACGGCUUCCUUCCUUAAACCUCAUGAACCAACCUCUGCCAGCUUCAAACUUUUCUUUUGCAGCUUCCUUACCUCCCUUGGCCUUCACAGAAUUGAAGAGAGUUAGGGCCUUGCUCUGGAUUAGGCUGUGGCUGCAGGGAAUGUUGUGGCUGGCUUGAUCUUCUAUCCAAAGCACUAAAUCUCGCUCCAUAUCAGCAAGGAGCUUGUGUCACUUUCUUAGCAGUUGUGUGUUCACUGGCAUAGCACUUUUAAUUUCCUUCAAAAACUUUUCCUUUUUAUUCACAACUUGGCUAACUGGCACAAGAGGCCCAGCUUUCAGCCUAUCUUGGCUUUCACCAUGGCUUCCUCACUAAGCUUAAUCAUUUCUAGCUUUUGAUUGAAACUGAAAGAUAAUGUGACCCUUCUUUUACUUGAACACUUACAGGCUGUGGUUGGGUUUCAAUGUUGUUGAAACCCAACAUUGUUUUUGUGUCUCAGGGAAUGGGGAGGCCCCAGGAGAGGGAGGGAGACCAGAAACGGCCAAUCAGUGGAGCAGUCAGAACACACACAACGUUUAUCCAUUAAGUUCAUCAUCUUAUAUGGUGCCGUUCAUGGCACCCCACGACAAUUCCAAGAAUAACAUCAAAGAUCACUGAUCACAGAUCACCAUGAGAGAUAUCAUAAUAAUGACAAGGUUUGAAAUAUUGUGAAAAUUACCAAAGCGUGACACAGGACAAAAGCGAGCAUGUGCUAUUGGGAAAAUGGUGCUGAUAGACUUGCUUGACACAGGGUUGCCACAAACCUUCAAUUUGCAAAAACGCACUCUCUGUGAAGCACGAUAAAGUGGGCUACAAGAAAAUGAGGUCUGCCUGCCUCUGUGCGCUGUACAUGAAAACAAGCCUAAUUUUCAAG